UCUGGAUUCUCUUUCCUCCACGGACGCCCAGUUUCUGACAACACAAAUACAGGACUUAUUGUCGUAUUUUCCUCCUGACUGCCUAAUUGGUGCUGUCACUGGCGGGAAUGUAAUCUCUCAAGGAAGCAAUUACACAGAUGGAGCGGUGAAUGAUGAGAACAGUGUCUCACGGACUCUAUGGACAUCUUGAGGGGGCAUCUGACUGGCCCGGCGACAUGCAGGGGUCACUGCUGAUGUUCUGUGUGGACCAAGCUAUGACUUGCGGGGACAUGUCGUCUACAACAAAGGACAGGUUGGAGUUCCAAAUGAACGGUUUUCCUAAAGAGCCACAUCCUGGGAGUAUCAAUGAGAAACACCAUAGGGCUGUUUAUUUGGAGCAUGCUAGGUUGGAGGGCCCCUGCUGCUGAGAGGAUGAUGACAGGAAGUGGAUGCCAUAGUGGUAAACUCAUGACUGUAUUAGAUAUCAUUUAGCACACUCAAAACGUGAGAGGAAGCUAUGUAUUGCUGCCAAGGAAGAUUUUACUGUAAUUAUCUUAGGAUGUCAUUUAAAUUAUGUAUUUACUAAAGGAUGCACAUGAGAAGUCCUGAAUCAUGAAUCUGCUCAUAGAAAUAUCUUUCUCAGGGUUGCAUAGAACUUUUCAAAAGGCCUGGUCUCUCUUUUUUUUUUUUUUUGGUGGGUUUUCGAUUAAUUCCAGGUAUUUUCUUGUAAAUGCUUACAUGAUGUUGUGUUGUCCUGCGCAUGGAAAUAAAUGAGUAAAUGAG